GACGAACGCUGGCGGCGUGCCUAACACAUGCAAGUGGAGCGACGAACCAGGGCUUGCCCUGGGGCCAAGCCGCGAACGGGUGAGUAACACGUGGGUAACCUGCCCCGAUGACCGGGACAACCCGAGGAAACUCGGGCUAAUACCGGAUGUGGUGGACACACUUAAGUGUGUCCACUAAAGGAAGCUUCGGCCUCCGCAUUGGGAUGGGCCCGCGGCCCAUUAGCUAGUUGGUGGGGUAAAGGCCUACCAAGGCAACGAUGGGUAGCUGGUCUGAGAGGACGAUCAGCCACACUGGGACUGAGACACGGCCCAGACUCCUACGGGAGGCAGCAGUGGGGAAUCUUGCGCAAUGCGCGAAAGCGUGACGCAGCGACGCCGCGUGAGGGAAGACGGCCU
rnacentral:rRNA from 1 species